rnacentral:rRNA from 1 species
UACGUAGGCAGCGAGCGUUGUUCGGAAUUACUGGGCGUAAAGAGUGCGUAGGCGGUGCCUCAAGUUUGGUGUGAAAUCUCCCGGCUCAACUGGGAGGGUGCGCCGAAAACUGAGGUGCUCGAGUGUGGGAGAGGUAGGCGGAAUUCCUGGUGUAGCGGUGAAAUGCGUAGAUAUCAGGAGGAACACCGGCGGUGUAGACGGCUUACUGGACCAUAACUGACGCUGAGGCACGAAAGUGUGGGGAGCAAACAGG